rnacentral:rRNA from 1 species
AUUGAACGCUGGCGGCAGGCUUAACACAUGCAAGUCGAGCGGAGAUGAGGUGCUUGCACCUUAUCUUAGCGGCGGACGGGUGAGUAAUGCUUAGGAAUCUGCCUAUUAGUGGGGGACAACAUUCCGAAAGGAAUGCUAAUACCGCAUACGUCCUACGGGAGAAAGCAGGGGAUCUUCGGACCUUGCGCUAAUAGAUGAGCCUAAGUCGGAUUAGCUAGUUGGUGGGGUAAAGGCCUACCAAGGCGACGAUCUGUAGCGGGUCUGAGAGGAUGAUCCGCCACACUGGGACUGAGACACGGCCCAGACUCCUACGGGAGGCAGCAGUGGGGAAUAUUGGACAAUGGGGGGAACCCUGAUCUAGCCAUGCUGCGUGUGUGAAGAAGGCCUUAUGGUUGUAAAGCUCUUUAAGCGAGGAGGAGGCUACUGAGACUAAUACUCUUGGAUAGUGGACGUUACUCGCAGAAUAAGCACCGGCUAACUCUGUGCCAGCCGCCGCCGUAACAC